CCCCUUGGACUAUACAGCCCAUGGAAUUCUUCAGGCCAGAGCACGAGUGAGUAGUCAUUCCCUGCUCCAGGGGAUCUUCCCAACGCAGGGAUCGAACCGAGGUCUCCUGCAUUGCAAUCGGAUUCUUUACCAACUGAGCUACCAGGGAAGCUCUGUAAUGAGGAUUUUAACUUGGCCAGGUUGAUUCACUUCUGUGAUCUUCAGUUACCUCACCAGUGAAUGAGGUAAUAUCUCCUGUUGCAGGGGGCGCUCAGCAAACACCCUGUCCCAUGGGCUUCCUCCUCUCAUGCAUCCUGUGCAGGAGGAAGGUUGAUGUCCUCCUAGACUUUGCCGUGAGUUUUAAUAAGAUGGUGUUGGUCUCUUCAGCUCCAGAGAGUCCGACCUGAAAAGCACAAGUCUCAGUACACAGCGUGGUCUGUAGUGGCCUCGGAGAUACACGUGCACUCCAGGUCAUUAAGGAAAUCAGGACGGCACUUAACAGACCAGAGAAAGGACCAAACAGAUUUUCAUAAAAUGGCAGAGCUCCUGUCCCUUUUGCUUUUUUUUGGUGGGAAUUAGUAUCAAUGGGUAGGACUCUAGGAUGUCUUACAAGAAGACACUUGUAUUGUCUUUAUUG
ensembl:lncRNA